GACGAACGCUGGCGGCGUGCCUAAUACAUGCAAGUAGAACGCAGUUGCGAACGGGUGAGUAACGCGUAGGUAACUGCCUCAUAGCGGGGGAUAACUAUUGGAAACGAUAGAUAAUACCGCUUCCUGUGAGCUGGACCUGCGUUGUAUUAGCUAGUUGGUGAGGUAAAGGCACACCAAGGCGACGAUACAUAGCCGACCUGAGAGGGUGAUCGGCCACACUGGGACUUGGACACGGCCCAGACUCCUACGGGGGGCAGCAGGAGGGGAUCUUCGGACAUGGACGGAAGUCUGAACGAGCAACGGCGCGUGAGUGGAGAAGGGUUUCGGGUCGUAAAGCUCUGUUGUGAGGGGAGCGGUAACUAACCAGAAAGGGACGGCUAACUACGUGCCAGCAGCCGCGGUAAUAC
rnacentral:rRNA from 1 species